rnacentral:rRNA from 1 species
UGGGGAAUCUUCCGCAAUGGGCGAAAGCCUGACGGAGCAAUGCGGCGUGGAGGGUGAAGGCCUAUUGGGUUGUUAACUCCUUUUCCCAGAGAAGAAACCUGACGGUAUCUGGGGAAUAAGCAUCGGCUAACUCCGUGCCAGCAGCCGCGGUAAUACGGGGGAUGCAAGCGUUAUCCGGAAUUAUUGGGCGUAAAGAGUUCGUAGGUUGUUGUCAAAGCCUAUUGUUAAAUCUCAAGGCUUCACCUUGAAUCAGCAGUAGGGACCUGGCAACUAGAGUGCGGUAGAGGUAGGGGGAAUUCCCGGUGUAGCGGUGAAAUGCGUAGAUAUCGGGAAGAACACCGGAGGCGAAA